GGGUUGUGAGGUUAAGCGACUAAGCGUACACGGUGGAUGCCCUGGCAGUCAGAGGCGAUGAAGGGCGUGCUAAUCUGCGAUAAGCGCCGGUAAGGUGAUAUGAACCGUUAUAACCGGCGAUACCCGAAUGGGGAAACCCAGUGUGACUCGUCACACUAUCAUUAACUGAAUCCAUAGGUUAAUGAGGCGAACCGGGGGAACUGAAACAUCUAAGUACCCCGAGGAAAAGAAAUCAACCGAGAUUCCCCCAGUAGCGGCGAGCGAACGGGGAGGAGCCCAGAGCCUGAAUCAGCAUGUGUGUUAGUGGAAGCGUCUGGAAAGGCGCGCGAUACAGGGUGACAGCCCCGUACACAAAAGCGCAUGUGCUGUGAGCUCGAUGAGUAGGGCGGGACACGUGGUAUCCUGUCUGAAUAUGGGGGGACCAUCCUCCAAGGCUAAAUACUCCUGACUGACCGAUAGUGAACCAGUACCGUGAGGGAAAGGCGAAAAGAACCCCGGCGAGGGGAGUGAAAAAGAACCUGAAACCGUGUACGUACAAGCAGUGGGAGCCCCACCACCAAAGCAUUCUCUGGUGUUGAAGGCCCUGCAAAGCAGCAUCGCGGUGGCGGAGCGUCGUUUGCGACGCCCAACACACAAAACAAGCGGUGAGUGCUUUGGGGUGGGGUGACUGCGUACCUUUUGUAUAAUGGGUCAGCGACUUAUAUUCUGUAGCAAGGUUAACCGAAUAGGGGAGCCGGAGGGAAACCGAGUCUUAAUUGGGCGUUAAGUUGCAGGGUAUAGACCCGAAACCCGGUGAUCUAGCCAUGGGCAGGUUGAAGGUUGGGUAACACUAACUGGAGGACCGAACCGACUAAUGUUGAAAAAUUAGCGGAUGACCUGUGGCUGGGGGUGAAAGGCCAAUCAAACCGGGAGAUAGCUGGUUCUCCCCGAAAGCUAUUUAGGUAGCGCCUCGUGAAUUCAUCUCCGGGGGUAGAGCACUGUUUCGGCUAGGGGGCCAUCCCGGCUUACCAACCCGAUGCAAACUGCGAAUACCGGAGAAUGUUAUCACGGGAGACACACGGCGGGUGCUAACGUCCGUCGUGAAGAGGGAAACAACCCAGACCGCCAGCUAAGGUCCCAAAGUCAUGGUUAAGUGGGAAACGAUGUGGGAAGGCCCAGACAGCCAGGAUGUUGGCUUAGAAGCAGCCAUCAUUUAAAGAAAGCGUAAUAGCUCACUGGUCGAGUCGGCCUGCGCGGAAGAUGUAACGGGGCUAAACCAUGCACCGAAGCUGCGGCAGCGA
rnacentral:rRNA from 3 species